UGAAUACGAGAUGCUACGGCAUCGAAGCAGUCUAUGUCAUACUUCCAAGAAAAGCUUGCACUGUCAUAAACAAAUAAUGCCUGUACCAUAACCGACACAGGUGGGUAGGUAGAGUAUACUAAGGGGCGCGAGAUAACUCUCUCUAAGGAACUCGGCAAAAUGACUCCGUAACUUCGGGAGAAGGAGUGCCUUAUUUUAUAAGGUUGCAAUAACAAGAUCCAAGCAGCUGUUUACCAAAAACACAGGUCUCCGCUAAGUCGUAAGACGAUGUAUGGGGGCUGACGCCUGCCCAGUGCCAGAAGGUUAAAGGAGUUGGUUAGCAUUAGCGAAGCUGAUAACUGAAGCCCUGGUGAACGGCGGCCGUAACAAUAACGGUCCUAAGGUAGCGAAAUUCCUUGUCGGGUAAGUUCCGACCCGCACGAAAGGCGUAAUGAUUUGGAUACUGUCUCGGAGAGGGGCUCGGUGAAAUAGACUUGUCUGUGAAGAUGCGGACUACCUGCACCAGGACAGAAAGACCCUAUGAAGCUUUACUGUAACUUGAGAUUGAAAUUGGACUUUAUUUGCGCAGUAUAGGUGGGAGACGUUGAAAAUAUUCUUGUGGGAAUAUUGGAGUCAUCAGUGAGAUACCACUCUUAUAAUGUUAGAUUUCUAACUUUGUAUCAUUAUCUGGUCAAAGAACAGUCUCAGGCGGGCAGUUUGACUGGGGCGGUCGCCUCCCAAACGGUAACGGAGGCGCACAAAGGUUUCCUCUGAACGUGUAGAAAUCGUAUCUAGAGUGUAAAGGCAUAAGGAAGCUUGACUGUGAGACCUACAAGUCGAGCAGGGACGAAAGUCGGUCUUAGUGAUCUGACGGUGCUGAGUGGAAAGGCCGUCACUCAACGGAUAAAAGUUACUCUAAGGAUAACAGGCUGAUCUCCCCCAAGAGUUCACAUCGACGGGGAGGUUUGGCACCUCGAUGUCGGCUCAUCGCAUCCUGGGGCGGUAGUACGUCCCAAGGGUUGGGCUGUUCGCCCAUGAAAGCGGUACGCGAGCUGGGUUCAGAACGUCGUGAGACAGUUCGGUCCAUAUCCGGUGUAGGCGUUAGAAUAUUGAGAGGAGCCUUCUUUAGUACGAGAGGACCGAGAAGGACAUACCUCUGGUGUACCAGUUAUCGUGCCAACGGUAAACGCUGGGUAGCUAUGUAUGGAGAGGAUAACCGCUGAAAGCAUCUAAGUGGGAAGCCCACCUCAAGAUAAGUAUUCUC
rnacentral:rRNA from 1 species